CUCCCGAGGUGCAGAGCCACAAAGCUAGGGGAGUUUUGUUCCUAACUUGGCAAACGUGGGCCGCUUAGUAUUGUGUCUCUGACACCCGCUCGAGGUCCCACACUCCAGCUUCGACUUUUCAUAUUAAUACGUUGAAAGCUUCACAUUAAUAAAAACAACAGAGAAGUUCUCAAGGGCUACGCUUUGGGCCGCUGGGCUGGAGUGAAAACUGUCUGUUUGCAGAACAUGAUGACUGCAUGCAUCAUGGGGAGUUGGAAGAUACACAUAACACAUUGUCAGCCUGGACAACACAGGGAACCCCUAUCUCAAAAC